GCCUGCGGAGGGAUCAUUACCGAGUUUACAACUCCCAAACCCCUGUGAACAUACCUAUACGUUGCCUCGGCGGAUCAGCCCGCGCCCCGUAAAAAGGGACGGCCCGCCCGAGGACCCCUAAACUCUGUUUUUAGUGGAACUUCUGAGUAAAACAAACAAAUAAAUCAAAACUUUCAACAACGGAUCUCUUGGUUCUGGCAUCGAUGAAGAACGCAGCAAAAUGCGAUAAGUAAUGUGAAUUGCAGAAUUCAGUGAAUCAUCGAAUCUUUGAACGCACAUUGCGCCCGCCAGUAUUCUGGCGGGCAUGCCUGUUCGAGCGUCAUUUCAACCCUCAAGCUCAGCUUGGUGUUGGGACUCGCGGUAACCCGCGUUCCCCAAAUCGAUUGGCGGUCACGUCGAGCUUCCAUAGCGUAGUAAUCAUACACCUCGUUACUGGUAAUCGUCGCGGCCACGCCGUAAAACCCCAACUUCUGAAUGUUGACCUCGGAUCAGGUAGGAAUACCCGCUGAACUUAAGCAUAUCAAA
rnacentral:rRNA from 1 species